GAUACAGGUAAUACAAACACAUCAUCUGUAAGGUACAGAUACGGGUAAUACAAACACUUCAUCUGUAAGGCACAGAUACGGGUAAUACAAACACAUCAUCUGUAAGGCACAGAUACGGGUAAUACAAACACAUCAUCUGUAAGGCACAGAUACGGGUAAUACAAACACAUCAUCUGUAAGGCACAGAUACGGGUAAUACAAACACAUCAUCUGUAAGGCACAGAUACGGGUAAUACAAACACAUCAUCUGUAAGGUACAGAUACGGGUAAUACAAACACAUCAUCUGUAAGGCACAGAUACGGGUAAUACAAACACAUCAUCUGUAAGGCACAGAUACGGGUAAUACAAACACAUCAUCUGUAAGGCAGAUACGGGUAAUA